UGAGGAAUAUUGGUCAAUGGGCGAGAGCCUGAACCAGCCAAGUAGCGUGCAGGAUGACGGCCCUAUGGGUUGUAAACUGCUUUUAUAUGGGAAUAAAGUGAGGGACGUGUCCCUUAUUGCAUGUACCAUACGAAUAAGGACCGGCUAAUUCCGUGCCAGCAGCCGCGGUAAUACGGAAGGUCCAGGCGUUAUCCGGAUUUAUUGGGUUUAAAGGGGGCGUAGGCUGUUUGUUAAGCGUGUUGUGAAAUGUAGGAGCUCAACUUUUAGAUUGCAGCGCGAACUGGCAGACUUGAGUGCGCACAACGUAGGCGGAAUUCAUGGUGUAGCGGUGAAAUGCUUAGUUAUCAUGACGAACUCCGAUUGCGAAGGCAGCUUACGGGAGCGCAACUGACGCUAAAGCUCGAAGGUGCGGGUAUCGAACAGG
rnacentral:rRNA from 1 species